AGAUGUGACGGCUCUCUGGCUGCGACAUCUGUCACACCAUUGCACACACCAGGGUUAAUUCAUCUGAUCUGGCUGGUUAGGUGGGGGUCCCCUUCCUCCUUCAUUUCUUAAUCUGUGCCCCCCCACACACAAGCUGUUCACUCUGUCCAAGAGAACGACAGUCCUGGAUAAAGGAGGAUUGUUCUUGGGCCCAGGUUAUGGAUGAGGUAGAACCUCAAAAAACAAAACAAAACAAAAACAAAAACAAAAAACCGAGCUCUCCAAUGACAAAAUGUGACUAAUAUUU
rnacentral:snRNA from 1 species